GACUUUGUAAUUCACCGCUUUAUUCCAUCAAUGACCAGUAUGAUGAGGUAUUAAUAUGUACACACACACACACACACACACACACACACACACACACACACACACACACACACACACACACACACACACACACACACACGAGGGAUGUACAAAAAAUUACAUUAUAUAUACACACACGCACAUUGCUUGUUUUGUGCCACCACGAGAGGGACGGAAGAAGUUAAUAUUAAUGAAGGAAAUCAGUAGUAACCAAUAAGUGUAUAGAAGACAACAUCCAUAUAGUUACAACCACUGCUAAAACAUUGCUAUCAACACUAACAUUCACACCUGGCACAUAAAAUUAGGUAAGGUAAGGGAGGUCAAGUUAAGAUGAGGUACGGUAAGGUAAAUCUGGGCUACGGUAAGGUUAGGUAAGGUGAGGUUAGGCUAGGUAAGGUAAGGUAAGGUGAGGUUAUGUUAUGUUAGGUAAGGUAAGGUUAGGUAAGGUAAGGUAAGGUAAGGUUUGGUAAGGUAAGGUAAGGUGAGGUUAGGUAAGGUAAGGUAAGGGUAGAUAAUGUAAAAAAAAAAAAAUUAAUUGAGGUUAAAAAACACAAGUAAAAAUCUAUAUUCGAAAAACUGCUAAAGACUAAAACUGUAAAAUAACUUAGUAACCCUUGCGACUUAAUCCUCUCCUUCAUUCCUCUCCAUCCUUAGCCUUUGCAUGACGGAUCGGGAAUACGGUGAAAGUCUGUUGACCUGCGUUCCAAUAGUCAAGUGUGCGCAAAUGGGGAAGUAGAAUUAAACCAAAAACAAAGAAAAGUAAGUGAAUAUAAACCUUCCAAAAUAAAAAUAAAAAGAGCUCAAAAUUAUGACAAAAAAAGUAGGGUAAGAAAUAUUAAGCCCUCCCAAAAGUAUGGUCUGAAUUUUCUAGGAUACGAAUUAUAACUGCAAAAAAAUUAGGUAGGAAAUGUUAAACCCUCCCAAAAGUAUGGUCUGAAUUUUCUAGGAUAGGAAUUAUAACAGCAAAAAAAAUUAGGUAGGAAAUGUUAAACCCUCCAAAAGUAUGGUCUGAAUUUUCUAGAAUGGGAAAUCACAAUAAAACAAUGAUAGGAAAUAUUAAACCCUCCCAAAAGUAUGGUCUGAAUUUUCUAGGAUGGGAAAUCACAACAAAAUAAUGAGAUAGGAAAUAUCAAACCCUCCCAAAAGUAUGGUCUGAAUUUUCUAGAAUGGGAAAUCACAACAAAAUAAUGAGAUGGGAAAUAUUAAACCCUCCCAAAAGUAUGGUCUGAAUUUUCUAGGAUACAAAAUUAUAACAGCAAAAAAAAUUAGGUACGAACUACAGACAGAAAAAUAUAAACAUCCCAAAGAACAAGUUUUAAGUCUGAAGUAAGGAUGUUAAUUAAAAUAACCUCUAAAAUAUUAAUUCCUGAAAGCAGAAAAUUUUAACCUCCAAAAAAUACAGGACUGAAUUCACAUAGACAGAAAAACAUAAACAUCCCAAAGAACAAGUUUUAAAAGUCAUGAAGUUAGGAUGUUAAUUAAAAUACCCUCAAAAAAUAUUAAUUCUUGAAGGCAGAAAAUUAUACCUCCAAAAAAUGUCUAAAUUCACAUACAGAAAAAUAUAAACAUCCCAAAGAACAAGUUUUAAAAGUCAUGAAGUUAAUUAAAAUACCCUCAAAAAUAUUAAUCCUUGAAGGCAUAAAACUAUAACCUCCAAAAAAUACAACUCUGAAUUCAUAUAGACAGAAAAAUAUAAACAUCCCAAAGAACAAGUUUUAAAAGUGAGGACGUUAAUUAAAAUACCCUCAAAAAUAUUACGUCUUGAAGGCAGAAAAUUAUAACCUCAAAAAAAUACAACUGUCUGAAUUCAUAUAAACAGAAAAAUAUAAACAUCCCAAAGAACAAGUUUUAAAAGUCAGGAUGUUAAUUAAAAUACCCUCAAAAAUAUUACGUCUUGAAGGCAGAAAAUUAUAACCUCAAAAAAAUACAACUGUCUGAACUCUUGAAGGAAAAACAAAACAUAAAACAAAAAAGCGUCGAGAAUCUUGAAAGCAUGAAAGUAUUUAUAAGGAAACACAGAUCAACAGACUUUCACAGCAUUUGUCUUCCUCCACUAAAAGCUAAACUCUCAAAAAACAAAUCUGAACUCGAACAAAAAAAAUAAUACAUAAAAUAAAGUUGUCAGAAAUUCUUGAGUGCGGGAAAAUAUACGUAAAAGAACACGGGUUACCAGACUUUCCGCUGCGUUUGUUCUCCUCAACUUAAAGCUCAUCUUGCCGGCCCCAAAGUCACCUGUGAGCCCAGCGAGGAAGUGCCGAUGUAGGUAAUGAGUUAACACACCUGAGCAGCACCAAAAAACUCCUUAACGGACAAGAAACGGAAAGAAACAAACGACGAAAUUUCACGUUUUACACACCUGUUAAAACCUCACACACACACACACGCACACACACAAACAUUAGUAUUUUGAUUAUACAUUCUUCUGAGUAAAAAAAACUGUAUAAAAUGAUAAAAAAAAUCACUCACUCUCUCUCUCUCUCACCUGAACACACCUAUGCCUUUAUUUAAUCAACAGGUGUGCUUUGGCAGGUUUGGGUUAGUUGUGUAAAAUGGAAAGGUACUUGUUCACACGGUCCUUAACUUAUGAAAAGAUUGUAAAUGAGAGGAAAUGACGAAUGGUAGUAGUAGUAGUAGUAGUAGUAGUAGUAGUAGUAGUAGUAGUAGUAGUAGUAGUAGUAGUAGUAGUAGUAGUAGUAGUAGUAGUAGUAGUAGUAGUAGUGGGGAAAGUGAGUUAACAUACAUCUUCAUAUCUCUCUUCCUAGUCACUCUUAAUAUGCACUCUCCAUACACACUAACCAAGGAGAGUAAGUAUAGACAUAAGUUAUAUUAGUCUGAAUGUUGAUGUAUUGCUUCAGAAAAAAAAAUGUAUUACUACUUAUUUCUCUUCAUUUUGUGUUGCUUUGUGUUUCCUAUUGUAUGGCUUGUUUUCUUUUUUGUUGUAUUGCUUCAGUUUUCGUUUUCUUGUUGUAUUGCUAACUUUCCAUUUUCUUGUACUGCUUGUUUUUUUUCUUGUAUCGCUUAACUUUCCACUUUUUUGUAUUGCUUGUAUGUCUAGAUUUUUUAUCCUUUAUAUAAAUUAAGUUUUUUCGUGUAUCGCUUUUCUGUUUUCCUCUAAACUUGUAUUCCUUGACUUUCCCUCACCUAUGUAUUGCGAUGCAUUGUAUUUCUAGUUUCUUAUCCUGCAUAACUUAAGUUUGAGCAAAGUCAGUUUUGAGUCACUUAAGUGGGCAAGACUAUCAGGCAGACAAACUUAUGAACAAACCACUGCCUUAUCACUGCCUUCUCAUUUCCAAGAUCACACAAGGCCCGGGAAAGUCAUGAUGGACUCUCUUAAAAACAAAGUCACUUAUUCUCAUUUCCUAAGGCACACAAGGUGAGGUCAUUUUCAGGUCACCCCAGUGAUCUGAGGAGGCCAAGGAUAACCAAACAACCCAAGGCUUACAGACCCAUUCAGGAAAGAUCAUAACAGGGCGACCAAAAUUAGGUCACAUGUAAGGAAGGGACGGGCAUAGGAUCUCAUGAGCAAGGUCACACAAGGGCUAAAGGACCAGGUCAUGUUAGGGUGAGCAAAAUUAGGUCACUGGGAUAAUGAUUGAGGGGAAGACAGCCACAUGACCGUCAGAACAAGGUCACAUCAGGUCACAUUAGGUCACUUCUGGAGUAAUGACAAGAGGGAAUAGCCACAUGACCCUCAGAACAAGGUCACUUAUGGGGCGUGCGCAGUGGUCAGGAGCCUCAGCAUGUCCCUCGUGACCCAGAACAAGGUCACAGUGGGAUCACAUUAAAAGGAGGUGACUUCUGGGGUGUGUGCUGUGGUCAGGAGCCUCAGCGUGUCCCUCAUGACCCUGGCAGAGGUGGUCACCAAGAAGAGGAGGUGGAACUUGGUGAGGGUGGGGGAGGGUGGGGGGCCGCGGGUCAGG